rnacentral:lncRNA from 1 species
CCUAAACCCUAAACCCUAAACCCUAAACCCUAAACCCUAAACCCUAAACCCUAAACCCUAAACCCUAAACCCUAAACCCUAAACCCUAAAUUUUGAGGACAUAUAUGAGAGACACAUUCAUAAUAUUCAAAUAAACUAUUUUUUUUAAUAGACAUGUAUAUCUGAUUCGACAACACAAACCACAAUUCUUAAGUUUCUCCAAUAGCACUUAUUUUACAGCUCCUGAACUUCUGAGUGUAACAAAAGUCAAACCAAGCCAAUAAUCUCCAUGCAGCAUGUACUUGUACUUAUUCUAGUACGUGUAAAAAGUCCAAACAUUUAUCCAACAAAAGAAAAAGACCAAAUAAGCCAAGCCACCUAUUUUAUUUCCCACUAGCACGAACUCCAUAAAAAUUCCUUCAUCACUUUGCUCUCUUUUUUCUUCCCUUCUGACUUCAACUCUCAUUAUCACUCAAACCUAGGGCUUACUACCAUUUAAUCCACACUCUUUUUCGAACGAAAAAGAUUUUUUUGUACUUUCUAGCAUGUAUAAUGUAAGUGAACAACCUGAAAAAAUACAGAUAGAGGACUAUCAUGAAUGUGACAUAUCCACUAGAGACGCUUAUAAAUAUAUUUGUGACUGGCCCUGUCUCAAAUCAAUAGAAUCGAAUAUAAGAUUUGGGAAGAGAAACAAUGGAGCAACAAGGUAAUGGUGCUUCUUCAUUUACCAGUGCUGUGAGUCUUAACAAGCUUGGAGUGUCUUCUAUACCUCGACGUUAUGUUCUUCCACCAUCACAACGACCCAGCCCUCAUCUUCCAAUAUCAACCACUCUUCCCAUCAUAGAUUGUCUACUUCGCGUGAUCAAUCUCUUGUUUCUAGAUCAACCAUCAAUGAAAUUCGAAUUGCCUGCAAAGAGAUAGGAUGCUUUCACGUAUAUAUAGCACCUGCUCAAUCUGCAUAUCAUUUUUUCAUAUUGAUGCAACAAACACAAACAUUUACGUGUAUUCUUUUAUACAUGAGCAUAUAUAUGAUAAUUAAUUAUAGUAGCUAACAUAGGAUGUAUUUUAAGUUCAAGGCUCUAUAAAGACAUGUUAUACUAUGUUAUAUAUUUACAUUAGGCUUCACUUUUGUAGGUUAUUAACCAUGGGAUUGAUCAACCGGUGAUGGAUGAAGCCCUAGAAGUCUCAACACAGUUCUUCAACCUUCCUAGUGCUGAAAAGAUGCGUUUAUUUUCUGAAGAUGUUCACAAACUUGUGAGGUAUGGAACAAGCCUUAAUCAAGCCAGGGAUGAAGUUUACUGCUGGAGAGAUUUCAUCAAACACUACUCUCAUCCAGUAUCGGAUUGGAUUCACAUGUGGCCUUCAAAUCCGUCAAAUUACAGGUAUUACUACAAAAUGAAGUUUUGAAAUCUCCAUGAUGAGAAUUUCACUAAUUAACAAAAUAAAGGUAUGGUAUCAAAAGUUUUCCAAAUAGACCUGUUUUAAUUAAUGAAAGCUUCUCUUCAGGUAUAAAAGGUACACGUCUAAUGAUAAUAAUAACUGAAUUCACUACAGUUGUGUAGUUUAAAAUUCAAACCACGUUUCAGUGUGAAAUGGUUAGUUGCAAAACAAAGCGUAUUAUCUGAGCCUACCUUCAGAAAUUUAAAGGACUCGGAUUGCCAUAAUGUCGAAGUCCUCAAGCAAAACAAUACUUGAAAUUUUACCCGGAUUUUCUCCUCUUCUUUUCUUCAUCGCAGAGAAAGCCCUUGUGUGGCAGGCUUGUAAGAUGAACACUCCCUAACGUUCUUUAUGCCUAAUAUAUAGCAUUCUUCCGUAGUUUACACGUGGAGAAGAAGCACAUCGUGGAGGCUCGUCUACUCAACGCGUAGAGGCCAUGUUUUUGUUCCUUUUAUUUCCUUUCUCGUGGAGGCUCCUCAGCUCAGCACGUAAAUAUGCACUUUCAUUGUUUAUUUAUUUCAAAAACAGUGCCCUAUUUUCUUGCAUUCUAUCUGCC